CGUUUUUUUUUUUUAAUUCUUUUUCGCCUGUACUGUGUAAUUUUUAUCCUCUUGUCACACAGAGAAACGAUUCCAGCGUGUCUUCGAAGAAGAAAGAAACAUC
rnacentral:ribozyme from 1 species